UUAAUUACAUAACCAAAAAAUAAAUAAUAAUACCCAGAAAGUUCUGAUACGGUUCACCCGAUGCCGCUGUAUGAUAUACAUCUUUUACCCUCGCUCACGGAUCCGUACUGGAUAAACAGUUUUCACAUCGUUCCACGGAUGGAAAAUCAAAACAUUCUAGAAACUUCAUUGAUCAAACGCGUGCCGCAGAAGUAUCAUGAAUACCUACUUGAAAAAUGAGCGAUUAAACUGUCGACUGUGUGUUUAUCACGUAGCGACUGCAUGACGAGAGUGGAGAUAUUUCCUAUAUAAUCAAUCCUAACAGUUGCCAUCAUCGAUUCUUCCAGAUUCAUAUGGGACAUGAUGAACGGGUUUAAUCUCUUCUUGAAGAGAAGCCUGUGCCCUCACACUUGUUACGUAUUAACAGGUCAAACCUAUCUGAUCCCUA